GGUUAAGUGACUAAGCGUACACGGUGGAUGCCUUGGCAGUCAGAGGCGAUGAAAGACGUAGUAACUUGCGAUAAGCCCAGAUUAGGUAGUAACAACCAUUUGAGUCUGGGAUUUCUGAAUGGGGAAACCCACGUGCAUAAGCACGUAUCCUUACCUGAAUACAUAGGGUAAGGAGGCGAACCGGGGAACUGAAACAUCUAAGUACCCCGAGGAAAAGAAAUCAACCGAGAUUCCGAAAGUAGCGGCGAGCGAAAUUGGACUAGCCCUUAAGCUUUACACGCGUUAGACGAACGGUCUGGAAAGUCCGACGAUACAGGGUGAUAGUCCCGUAGUUGACGACGUGUGUUCAGUGAAAUCGAGUAGGGCGGGACACGUGAUAUCCUGUCUGAAUAUGGGGGACCAUCCUCCAAGGCUAAAUACUACUGACUGACCGAUAGUGAACCAGUACCGUGAGGGAAAGGCGAAAAGAACCCCUGUGAGGGGAGUGAAAUAGAACCUGAAACCGUGUACGUACAAGCAGUAGGAGCAGGCUUCGUCCUGUGACUGCGUACCUUUUGUAUAAUGGGUCAGCGACUUAUAUUCAGUGGCAAGGUUAACCAUCUAGGGGAGCCGUAGGGAAACCGAGUCUUAACUGGGCGUUCAGUCUCUGGAUAUAGACCCGAAACCAGGUGAUCUAGCCAUGGGCAGGUUGAAGGUUGAGUAACAUCAACUGGAGGACCGAACCGACUAAUGUUGAAAAAUUAGCGGAUGACUUGUGGCUAGGGGUGAAAGGCCAAUCAAACCUGGAGAUAGCUGGUUCUCCCCGAAAGCUAUUUAGGUAGCGCCUCGGACGAAUACUACUGGGGGUAGAGCACUGUUAAGGCUAGGGGUCAUCCCGACUUACCAACCCUUUGCAAACUCCGAAUACCAGUAAGUACUAUCCGGGAGACACACGGCGGGUGCUAACGUCCGUCGUGGAGAGGGAAACAACCCAGACCGCCAGCUAAGGUCCCAAAUUACUACUAAGUGGGAAACGAUGUGGGAAGGCUCAGACAGCCAGGAUGUUGGCUUAGAAGCAGCCAUCAUUUAAAGAAAGCGUAAUAGCUCACUGGUCGAGUCGGCCUGCGCGGAAGAUGUAACGGGGCUAAGUAGUAAACCGAAGCUGCGGCAAUGUGCUUUUGCACAUUGGGUAGGGGAGCGUUCUGUAAGCGGUUGAAGGUGUGUGGUAACGCAUGCUGGACGUAUCAGAAGUGCGAAUGCUGACAUGAGUAACGAUAAAGGGGUGAAAAACCUCCUCGCCGGAAGACCAAGGGUUCCUGUCCAACGUUAAUCGGGGCAGGGUAAGUCGACCCCUAAGGUGAGGCCGAAAGGCGUAGUCGAUGGGAAACGGGUUAAUAUUCCCGUACUUCUUACAAUUGCGAUGGGGGACGGAGAAGGCUAGGUGGGCCUGGCGACGGUUGUCCAGGUUCAAGUGCGUAGGCUUAAGAGUUAGGUAAAUCCGGCUCUUUCUAAGGCUGAGACACGACGUCGAGCACCUACGGGUGUGAAGUCAUUGAUGCCAUGCUUCCAGGAAAAGCCUCUAAGCUUCAGAUUGUAAGGAAUCGUACCCCAAACCGACACAGGUGGUCGGGUAGAGAAUACCAAGGCGCUUGAGAGAACUCGGGUGAAGGAACUAGGCAAAAUGGUACCGUAACUUCGGGAGAAGGUACGCUCUCGACAGUGAAGUCCCUCGCGGAUGGAGCUAUUGAGAGUCGCAGAUACCAGGUGGCUGCAACUGUUUAUUAAAAACACAGCACUGUGCAAAAUCGUAAGAUGACGUAUACGGUGUGACGCCUGCCCGGUGCCGGAAGGUUAAUUGAUGGGGUUAGACUUCGGUCGAAGCUCUUGAUCGAAGCCCCGGUAAACGGCGGCCGUAACUAUAACGGUCCUAAGGUAGCGAAAUUCCUUGUCGGGUAAGUUCCGACCUGCACGAAUGGCGUAAUGAUGGCCACGCUGUCUCCACCCGAGACUCAGUGAAAUUGAAAUCGCUGUGAAGAUGCAGUGUACCCGCGGCUAGACGGAAAGACCCCGUGAACCUUUACUACAGCUUGGCACUGAACAUUGACCCUACAUGUGUAGGAUAGGUGGGAGGCUUUGAAGCACGUACGCCAGUAUGUGUGGAGCCGUCCUUGAAAUACCACCCUUGUAGUGUUGAUGUUCUAACGUCGACCCCUAAUCGGGGUUGCGGACAGUGCCUGGUGGGUAGUUUGACUGGGGCGGUCUCCUCCCAAAGAGUAACGGAGGAGCACGAAGGUGGGCUAAUCACGGUUGGACAUCGUGAGGUUAGUGCAAUGGCAUAAGCCCGCUUGACUGCGAGAAUGACAAUUCGAGCAGGUGCGAAAGCAGGUCAUAGUGAUCCGGUGGUUCUGAAUGGAAGGGCCAUCGCUCAACGGAUAAAAGGUACUCCGGGGAUAACAGGCUGAUACCGCCCAAGAGUUCAUAUCGACGGCGGUGUUUGGCACCUCGAUGUCGGCUCAUCACAUCCUGGGGCUGAAGUCGGUCCCAAGGGUAUGGCUGUUCGCCAUUUAAAGUGGUACGCGAGCUGGGUUUAGAACGUCGUGAGACAGUUCGGUCCCUAUCUGCCGUGGGCGUUGGAAGAUUGAAGGGGCUGCUCCUAGUACGAGAGGACCGGAGUGGACGAACCUCUGGUGUUCGGGUUGUGUCGCCAGACGCAUUGCCCGGUAGCUAAGUUCGGAAUCGAUAACCGCUGAAAGCAUCUAAGCGGGAAGCGAGCCCUGAGAUGAGUCUUCCCUGAUACUUUAAGUAUCCUAAAGGGUUGUCGGAGACUACGACGUUGAUAGGUCAGGUGUGUAAGUGCUGUGAGGCAUUGAGCUAACUGAUACUAAUUGCCCGUGAGGCUUAACCAU
rnacentral:rRNA from 1 species